rnacentral:lncRNA from 1 species
GGCUUUUAUCUUGAGAACAUGGUGUCUGGAGUUAAAGGUAUGUCUCAAUUUGAGUUUUCACAUCAUAUUUGUUUAUGUGUAGGAAACAGUAUGUUGUCAGAGCAAGUUUCAUUUUAUUCAGGGACAUUUCUACCAUGCUUUUAAUUCCCAUUUAUACUGAUUUCUGAAAAGAAGAAUCCUAGAUUCACACAUUUUAUAGUGAUGUGUCAGAUUCAUUUUAGUUGCAAGCAUUAGAGGGUCCUGAAUUUGUUAGUUUGUAGCAAUAAUCAGAACUUUGGAUUUCCUACUUGAAGCCUACAGCAUUAUUUUGAAUUAAUGCACAAUCUAAAAUGAGGCAGAGGAUUUUAUGGUUUAAUGCAAAAUAUAGUAUAAUAAAAGAUGAUUACACAGGUCAUAAGAAUUCAUAAAUUUGAAUGAUGUAGAGUUUGAUUAAAAGUUAUAUAAUGCCAAAGUCGUAACUUACAGGCACAUUAUAUUCCUGUAUUUUAUAAUGGAUGACAAUUAAUUUUGAGCCAAGAAUUAAAAUUUGCUGAAAUCUUCGAAUUGGGAAAACAACAUCCUCUGUUGCAAUACUGAAGUUCAUAACAACAGUUAGACUUUAAACUUAAAUCUUAAGUUUAAAUCUUUUUCCUUUGGUUCAUGUAAAGGAGCUACUUGAUGUUACUUUUUAUUUAUCAUUCCUCUGGCUCCUAAGCACAACGUGAUUGUGAAAUUAUUGUUUUUGUGAUUAACGUAGUAGGAAGUUUCUGCAGUUGGCAAUAUUGUAAGAGCAUAUUGCAGUUUCUGCUCAUAAUUUCUUUCCUAUGGAGUGUUAGACUUUGUUAUUUAUGUGUAUAAAUACUAGCUGGACACAGUGGUGCCUGUGGUCCCCAGCUACUCUGGAGGCUAAGGCAGGAGAAACACUUGAGCCCAGCGGUUUGAGGCUACAGUGAGAUGUGAUCCUGCCACAUCUCACUGUAGCCUCGAACCCCUGGGCUCAAGUGAUUCAGCAAGAAUCACACGAUUUUUAAAAGACAUGGCAGAUCCUGUGUCUUUAAAAAAAAAUCAAAACCUUGUAAAUAGUGGUUGAGGUCUAUCCCGAUGGGGCUUUUCCUGUAGCCUGCACAUCGUUGGAAACGCCUCAUAGAGUAACUCUGUGGUUUUACUUUACUCACAGGACUAUUGUUAGAUCUGUGGGAAGGAAUUACAAGACAGUUGCUAAAAGUUUGAAAAAGACGGUUGCUAAACGUUAUGAAAAACCAGAUAAUCUACUUUUUUACCUUAGGUAUUGGCAUACUCCACACAUCUGUACCAUUCUUGAGUGAUCGCUUAGGAAUGAAUGUGAUUUGAACUCAUUCAUGUUGAGAGGGUGUCAAAUUGAGAACCAGGUAGAUCCCCACCACCUACAGUAAAAAGGACCCUAAAGUAAAUUGGUUGAAGAAAUUAGAUCCCAAAGAUUCUUGGUGAAUUUUGAAGUCUUCAUCAGUAUAUCCAUAUUAAAACGAGAUGACAGAAGCCAAAGUAAUUAUGGGCUGACAGGACAACUGGAUCAGUUUCAUUAAAAAGGGCAAACUUGAAGAUAAAUCUUUUGACUCCAGCUCUUUAGAGGAUCUAAAGUGACCUUGAUGGACAGUGGAAGAAAUCACAACAUGGAAUUCCUCGAAUAACAAUUUAUUGACUUUAAAUAAUUUUGUCUAAUGCUACAUAUACACAAUUAAAAAACCUUUACAC